ensembl:lncRNA
UUUUUUUUUUUUUUUUGGCUUUUUGGGGCCACACCCACGGCAUAUGGAGGUUCCCAGGGGUCCAAUUGGAGCUACGGCCACUGGCCUACGCCACAGCAACGUGGGAUCCAAGCUGCAUUACACCACAGCUCAUGGCAAUGCCGGAUCCUUAAUCCACUGAGCGAGGCCAGGGGGAUUGAACCCACAGCCUCCUGGUUCCUAGUCGGAUUUGUUUCUGCUGCGCCACAAUGGGAACUCCUGAAACUAAAUUCUUGGAAGACAUUUAGAACCGGGAGGCUGACACAAAAUAAUUUGAAGCCUGUUUUUAGGUAGGGUCAAUUUGUAAUAAGAUAUCAGGGUUCAAGCCAGGAAUGGAAUAAUAGAGCUGGAGACUACAGGAAGCUGCUAGGUCAGCGGGGCUAGUUUUAAUUUCUUGAUGACUUACAGACAUCACUGCAGCACAAGGAAGUAAGUUAAUGUGGGGUGAAGGGGUGUAUAUGGUACAGGCUAAGACAUCCCCGUCUCCUUCCCAAUCCUUAGAGACCAGAUGACUCAAAGAUGGGGGACGGGGAGAAAGCACACAAGUCACCUCGCAAAAGAAGACAUCCUUGUAGCUUUCCAUUCUUGUCACCAGAAUUGUUCCUUAAUGCCCCCGUGGCUAUAGCCUCAUAAAGCAGGAAGUUAUGACUUCACUCAGGGACUUCUGUGUACACAGUGACAGGGUGCUUCAUAUCCAUGAAGCAACAAGGGAGGACGGGCUUCUCUGCCACUCAGUACAUGUUUCUCCUUCCCCGCAUUUUCCUACCCACGUCCAGAAAGCACCUAAACACCGUGUGGCUGGCCUUCCACUCUCCUGUUAGUCAGGGGCUACAGUCUGCCUCAGACCAGGCUGAGGUCAACUCAACCCCUCUGCUCCUCCCUCUCAGAGUUCUUAUCACUCUAGAUAUAAGUGCCUGUCCUUUUGGCUACAUUUUCUGUGAGGAAUGCGCUUGCUCAGAGGAGGCGCCAAGUCUGCUUUGCACACUGUCGUGUCCCUAGCAUAGUUUUAGGUAUGCAGCCACUCAAUAAAUAUAGUUCAAUGGAUGAACGGGUAGAUAAAAUCUUUUUUUUCUAUCCUUUGCUGUAUUUCCAAACAUGUGGACUGACUUCUUGAUGUUUCACCAAGAGUUGGCAUUCCAUAACUACCAAAAACAAUGAACAGAACCAAACUACUCAUUUGGCAAAGAUGUCUUCACCCCCCGGAGAUUUAUAAAUGAUCUCCAGACUAGAUCUCAGCAAGUAAAGGUCCUCCAAAGCAGGGAUAUCAGUUAUUCCACACGUUUGAAGAGGUACCGCUUCUUUCCCUUGACAUGGGAAAGGUUCCUAAACUGCCCUUAGCAAUUUUAUUCAGUAAAAUUCAUCAUCAUUUAAACACAAUUCGUUUUCAAAUUAGAGGCUAACUUUAAUUAUGAACAGAACACUUUAAGGUUUAAGGGUAACUGGAAUUCUUUCAGAGACCUGUCUCUUUUUAAAGAUGAGCUCCAGGUACUUUGGUUUGUUUCCUAAAAUUAAUAAAUAAUAAAGAAUCAAUUUAAAAGUUAUACAGCAAAUGCUGGACAGAGUAUCUUCAGGGAAAUCAGGGUUGCUUGGUGGGGGCAUUGCUACAUCAGAGAUGUUCCACUCACUUACCUGAUUCUGGGCUUCAGAUUUGUCCCCCAGACACUUCCAAAAGCCUUUCCCCAACCAUGCCCUCCCCGUGCGGUAAAAACUUAUCUCUGAUAACUCAGCCCAAGAAUCACUUUCUCUAAGAAGUCCUUCCAGACACUGAUCCUCCUUUUACCCAAAACGCCCUUACAAUUAAACCCUCUUCUGUGUGCUUCUGCUCUUUCUUCUCCAGACGUAAAUCAUGGCAGCAGUAAAACACAGUGUACAUCUCUCCACUCGCUCCUAAGUCAGGCCCUUACGUGUAGUGAUCCAGUUUUAUUUGAUGUUGAAUUGCUAGCAUUUUCAAUAACAUUCAGCAUAUUGUAGGUGCUUAAGAAGAACAUUAGAAAUGAUUCUGUAUAGUCCUCUCUUCCCAUCAGUCAUUAAUGUACUUUUUUGGUUUUUGAAAUAUGUUUAAUCUUUAAAUAUCUUUGGAAUCAUUUUAGAUGUAAAGAAAGUUGCAAAACUACCGCAGAUAGUUUCUUUGUACCCUUCAUCAGCUUCUCACGAUUCGCAUCUUCCAUAACCAUGGCGCCAUUACCGACUUUAAAAAAUUAACAUCAGCAUAAUACCACUAACUACAGUAUAGAUUUUAUUUGGAUUUCAUCAGGUUUUUUUCCACUGAAAUACUUUGUCCUUUCUCUUCUCAGAAUCCAGUCCAGCAUUUAAUGAUCUCCUCCAAACUGUGAUAAUUCCUCAGUCUUUCCUCGUCUCUCAUGACUUUUACACUUUUGAAGAGUACUAGCCAGGUAUUUUGCAGAAUACCCCCAUGAUUUUCUUAUAACUAAGUGGGGGUUAUGUGAUUUGAAGGAGAAAACAUAGAGGUGAUGUCGCCAUGUCAUCAUGUGGUAUUAGAGUACAUAGUAUCAACAUGAUUUAUUACUGAUGAUGAAUUAGGAGUGCUUGGUUAAGAUGAUGACUGCAGGUUUCUCGAUGGCAAAGUUACUAACUAAUGUAAUUCCUCUUUAAUAAUUGGUUCUUAGUAUAGGAAUUCCUAUUGUGAACCUGACUAGUAUCCAUGAAGAUGCAAGUCUGAUCCCUGGCCUUGCUCAGUGCGUUAAGGAUCCAGCGUUGCCUUGAGCUGCAGCCUGGCUUGGAUCUUGCGAUUCUGAUUUGACCCCUAGCCUGGGAACUUCCAUAUGCUGCAGAUGUGGCCCUAAAAAACAAAAUAAUAAUAGUAAUAGGUUUUUGUUUUUUGUUUUGUUUUGUUUUGUUUUUUGUCUCUUUGCCAUUUCUUGGGCCACUCCCGCAGCAUAUGGAUGUUCCCAGGCUAGGGGUCUAAUCGGAGCUGUAGCUGCCAGCCUACGCCAGAGCCACAGCAACGCAGGAUCCGAGCCGCGUCUGCAACCUACACCACAGCUCACGGCAACACUGGAUCGUUAAGCCCCUGAGCAAGGGCAGGGAUCAAAAGUGCAACCUCAUGGUUCCUAGUCGGAUUCGUUAACCACUGCGCCACGAUGGGAACUCCAGUAAUAGGUUCUUAUUACAUAUUUUAUUGAUUUAUUCAACAAUAUUCAUUGACUUCUACUGUGGGCCAAAGCAAUAGUGGUCCAGGUUUUGGGAUGUAACAGAUAAAAGAUAGCCCAAAAUUCCUUUCUCAAGUAGUUUACAUUCCAGUGAGAUAGUUAUACAACAAAUAAAUAAGCAAAAGAUAGUGAUACAAAUGAAAGAAAAAUAUUUUAAAGGGAAAGGUGUUGGAAUGUUGGCAUUUUAGAUGAGCUUAUCAGAGAAGUGACAGACUGAAUGUUGAAGCUGACAAUGGCCAGACCAUGCAUACAAGAUAGAGUUCUGACCCACAGCCUGCGCUUACCAGCCAGGACAGCAACACAUGAUCUACAGAAACCAGCCUGGGAAGCCAGCUUGUUGUCUCUAAGUCAGACCUGUAGGAAGUCUGGCCACUAUCUGUAGUAAACACUCCAGGAAGUCAAAAAAUAACCCUUUUAAUAAUUGGCAGCAAAUGGCCAGGUCUUGAUUAGUAACUGUCAGCUUCCCUCAUUUUUGCCAUGCUUCCAACAUAAGGCCAACUAGAGAAAGGCACAUAUGUACUCUUGGUAGUCACGUGGGUAGCCCACCUGCAGCUUCCCAGGUCAGCAGCCUCCAAUCAGAGCACACCUGAAGCCUUCCACCUUUUCCUCCAUAAAGCUUUCCCACUCCUCCAUCCGCUUUGAGUAUCUGCCAAAAUUCUGGAGCAAGUGACGGUGACUGACUCCUUUGCUAUAGCAAGCCCUGGCUAAAUAGCCUUUGCCUGUUGUCAUUGGGUCGGUCUUGAUUCCUACAGAAGAGGACCUUGGAGUAAGCCCUGGAGUGAAGAAGAGAGAGGCCUGAUGGUAGAUGGGGAGAGAGCACUAUGGGCAGAGAGUGCCAAGUCCCUGAUGGGAGAAGAGUGAGGAGGAACAAGGUUUGGUCAAAGUGUCAGGAACUCAGCUUGGUACAGGUCGCAUGCGGGUGUUAAUUAGACAUCCAAGUAGACAUGUGAAGUAAGUUGGACAUUUGAGUCUGAAGUUCAGGAAGAGGUUUGCACUAGAGAUAGACGCCCGGGAGGUGUCACUUCUAAUGCAAUGCUCUGAGAAUGGCUCAGGUGCUCAGUGUGGGAAGUGCGCAUAGGCGGGAGCAUGAGGCCCCUGACCAAGCCCUGGGUGGUCGCACGCAGAGGUCAGGGAGAUGGGGUGAAACCAGCAAAGGAGGCUGAAAAGGAAUCGCCAGAACAGCGUGAGGAAUAUCUACAUUCCUUCCUUCAGUGGUAUUCAGAGGAGGCACUCGUUUUCUGCCAGGAAAACUCUGUUUUCUCCCUUUCACUUCCUCUCACUACUCAACUUCUCAAACACUUCUAAUACCAGAUGUAUGGGCUUUCUGCACCAAGCAGUUCUGAUCCUGACUGCCUGGAGUUGGCAGGGACCCCAUCAGUCUCAGCCUCACAGUUUGCCCCAACUUCAGACACCAGGCCCAGGUGGUAGGUCCUCCCGUUUUCCACAACUUCUGCCUCACCCCGUGACAAAGAAGAGGUUUCCGUGACGCCCUCCUUGGAAUCAGUCACUUGCUAGAACAGUUCAUAGAACUCAAGAAAACACUUAUGUUUACCAGCUUAGUACAUGGUAAAGAAUGUGAUAAAGGAUGCAGACAAUAGCCAUAGGAAAAGAUACACAGGGCAAGGUCUGGAAGGGGCCGAGUGCAGGAGUUUCCACACCCCUGUUGCUGGAUGCAUCCCUUCCGGCAGGUAGCUGUGUUCACCCACCUGGAAGCUCUCGGAACACAGCACUUUGGGGAUUUUUAUGGAGGCUUCAUUAUGCAGGCAGGAUUGAUGAUUAACUCCAUUUCCAGCCCCUCUCCUCUCUCCAGAAAAUGGGAGGUGGGGCUGAAAUUUCCAGGCUUCUAAUCAUAGCUUGGUCUUUCUGGUGACCAGCCCUGGAGCUUAUCAAUUGUCACUUCAUUAGAACAAAAGCUGUUCCUAUCGCCUAGGAAAUUCCAAAGGAUUUAGUUCUGUGUCAGAUUUUCCCAUCACUUAGGAAAUUACAAAGGCUUUAGGAGCUCUGUGUCAGGAACCAGGGGCAGAGAUCAACAUAUGUUUUUUCUCUUAUUUCAUGUCUACUUACAGUAAAACAUUGGGCUAGUUCCUUAAUGGAGCACAGCCUCCGUCCCCUUGCACAAAAGAGGAAGGAUGUCUGUCUGUGGGCUGUUAGUCUAAAGAAUCAGGGAGGGGUCAGUGACACCACUGGCCCUGAUACAGGCAGGAUAAUGACUUAUAAAGAAUGAGGGGAAAAGCCUGCUUAUUUUGUAAAAAUGUAUCUAUUAGCUUCCUACAAUAGAAUAGGAAGAUAAAGUGGUUGUGUGUUUCUACUUUGAGUGGUGUGGGUUAUAAUCUGCCCCCAGUGAGAGUUUCUGAUUUGUGUUAGUCUGUGUGGAAUGGAAUUGCAGAAUGAGGUCUUCUCACUCCAGUUUGCCUCAGACGACUGGGGUUGGUCCUGGAGAGGAUGAAUCUGGGUCAGGGCUGCCUGGUGGGUCAGGGCUUCCCUGCUGGUUCUUCUCAGGAUGCCCUGAUGGUGCUGACACCUGACCUCUUUUCACCUUAAGUCUUUAAUCUAUUACUUCCAACUCCAGAGAUGUGCCCAAAACAGAGAUAUCAAGUUCUACCAAGAGGAAAAGAGAAAGUUUACCCCUCAACUAAAUCAAGAGAAGGGACGGUGGGGGAAACCAUGAUGAAAUCAAAAUGUCAAGCUGCAGAAUCAGAAAAGCUUCCCAUAAAGCACACAGUGAAUUCAAAGCAUCCCAGCCGAAGGCAGAACAUACAUGUUUCUGGGAGGAACUCAUGCUGCACCCCAGCUUGGUUUCUGACAGCGGCAAAUCCACACCUGCUGGAAGCAACAGGGAACCCAAGUUCAGGAACACAGCCUUCUCUCAGAGCAAAAGGAUGAGCUUGGGAAGAAUACACAAUAUCUACCAACCAUGAAUUUGCAUCAAAAUUCUUUAAAAUUAGUGAGAAAAGCAAACAAAUGUUUCCGCAUCUGGAAGAACAAAGAGUGUGGUCUUGUAGGGAAAUAUGUUAUUUGCAUCAAUAUACAAACUGUGUAGUAAAUUCUUUGUUCAAACCUCUAUGGAGAACUACUGAGCAAAUAGACAGAAGCAAAAUAGGAAGUGAAAUGCUUUGGUUGCAUCUGUUCUUUAAAGAAUAUGUUAAUUCCUUAGAUAUGGGGCAA